GAUGAACGCUGGCGGCGUGCCUAAUACAUGCAAGUCGAGCGAACGGACGAGAAGCUUGCUUUUCUGAUGUUAGCGGCGGACGGGUGAGUAACACGUGGAUAACCUACCUAUAAGACUGGGAUAACUUCGGGAAACCGGAGCUAAUACCGGAUAAUAUUUUGAACCGCAUGGUUCAAAAGUGAAAGACGGUCUUGCUGUCACUUAUAGAUGGAUCCGCGCUGCAUUAGCUAGUUGGUAAGGUAACGGCUUACCAAGGCAACGAUGCAUAGCCGACCUGAGAGGGUGAUCGGCCACACUGGAACUGAGACACGGUCCAGACUCCUACGGGAGGCAGCAGUAGGGAAUCGUCCGCAAUGGGCGAAAGCCUGACGGAGCAACGCCGCGUGAGUGAUGAAGGUCUUCGGAUCGUAAAACUCUGUUAUUAGGGAAGAACAUAUGUGUAAGUAACUGAGCACAUCUUGACGGUACCUAAUCAGAAAGCCACGGCUAACUACG
rnacentral:rRNA from 1 species